CCUACGGGAGGCAGCAGUGGGGAAUAUUGGACAAUGGGCGUACGCCUGAACCAGCCAAGUCGCGUGAGGGAAGACUGCCCUAUGGGUUGUAAACCUCUUUUGUCAGGGAGCAACGCCGGCUACGUGUAGCCGGACUGAGAGUACCUGAAGAAAAAGCAGCGGCUAACUCCGUGCCAGCAGCCGCGGUAAUACGGAGGAUGCGAGCGUUAUCCGGAUUGAUUGGGUUUAAAGGGUGCGUAGGCGGAAUGCCAAGUCAGCGGUAAAAUCGCGGGGCUCAACCUCGCUCCGCCGUUGACACUGGCGUUCUUGAGUGGGCGAGAAGUAUGCGGAAUGCGUGGUGUAGCGGUGAAAUGCAUAGAUAUCACGCAGAACUCCGAUUGCGAAGGCAGCAUACCGGCGCCCAACUGACGCUGAAGCACGAAAGCGUGGGUAUCGAACAGGAUUAGAUACCCUAGUAGUC
rnacentral:rRNA from 1 species